rnacentral:rRNA from 1 species
AUUGAACGCUGGCGGCAGGCUUAACACAUGCAAGUCGAGCGGGGUGAUGGUGCUUGCACUAUCACUUAGCGGCGGACGGGUGAGUAAUGCUUAGGAAUCUGCCUAUUAGUGGGGGACAACAUCUCGAAAGGGAUGCUAAUACCGCAUACGUCCUACGGGAGAAAGCAGGGGAUCACUUGUGACCUUGCGCUAAUAGAUGAGCCUAAGUCGGAUUAGCUAGUUGGUGGGGUAAAGGCCUACCAAGGCGACGAUCUGUAGCGGGUCUGAGAGGAUGAUCCGCCACACUGGGACUGAGACACGGCCCAGACUCCUACGGGAGGCAGCAGUGAGGAAUAUUGGUCAAUGGGGGCAACCCUGAACCAGCCAUGCCGCGUGCAGGAAGACGGCUCUAUGAGUUGUAAACUGCUUUUACAAGGGGAUAAAUCGGUGUACGUGUACACCGUUGAAGGUACCUUGGGAAUAAGGAUCGGCUAACUCCGUGCCAGCCGCCGCGGUAA